rnacentral:rRNA from 1 species
GCAGUCGAGCGAACAGACGAGGAGCUUGCUCCUUUGACGUUAGCGGCGGACGGGUGAGUAACACGUGGAUAACCUACCUAUAAGACUGGGAUAACUUCGGGAAACCGGAGCUAAUACCGGAUAACAUGUUGAACCGCAUGGUUCAACAGUGAAAGACGGUCUUGCUGUCACUUAUAGAUGGAUCCGCGCCGCAUUAGCUAGUUGGUAAGGUAACGGCUUACCAAGGCAACGAUGCGUAGCCGACCUGAGAGGGUGAUCGGCCACACUGGAACUGAGACACGGUCCAGACUCCUACGGGAGGCAGCAGUAGGGAAUCUUCCGCAAUGGGCGAAAGCCUGACGGAGCAACGCCGCGUGAGUGAAGAAGGUCUUCGGAUCGUAAAACUCUGUUAUUAGGGAAGAACAAAUGUGUAAGUAACUAUGCACGUCUUGACGGUACCUAAUCAGAAAGCCACGGCUAACUACGUGCCAGCAGCCGCGGUAAUACGUAGGUGGCAAGCGUUAUCCGGAAUUAUUGGGCGUAAAGCGCGCGUAGGCGGUUUUUUAAGUCUGAUGUGAAAGCCCACGGCUCAACCGUGGAGGGUCAUUGGAAACUGGAAAACUUGAGUGCAGAAGAGGAAAGUGGAAUUCCAUGUGUAGCGGUGAAAUGCGCAGAGAUAUGGAGGAACACCAGUGGCGAAAGCGACUUUCUGGUCUGUAACUGACGCUGAUGUGCGAAAGCGUGGGGAUCAAACAGGAUUAGAUACCCUGGUAGUCCACGCCGUAACGAUGAGUGCUAAGUGUUAGGGGUUUCCGCCCCUUUAGUGCUGCAGCUAACGCAUUAAGCACUCCGCCUGGGGAGUACGACCGCAAGUUGAAACUCAAAGGAAUUGACGGGACCCGCACAAGCGGGUGGAGCAUGGUGGUUU